GCCUAACACAUGCAAGUCGAACGGUAACAGGAAGCAGCUUGCUGCUUCGCUGACGAGUGGCGGACGGGUGAGUAAUGUCUGGGAAACUGCCUGAUGGAGGGGGAUAACUACUGGAAACGGUAGCUAAUACCGCAUAACGUCGCAAGACCAAAGAGGGGGACCUUCGGGCCUCUUGCCAUCGGAUGUGCCCAGAUGGGAUUAGCUAGUAGGUGGGGUAACGGCUCACCUAGGCGACGAUCCCUAGCUGGUCUGAGAGGAUGACCAGCCACACUGGAACUGAGACACGGUCCAGACUCCUACGGGAGGCAGCAGUGGGGAAUAUUGCACAAUGGGCGCAAGCCUGAUGCAGCCAUGCCGCGUGUAUGAAGAAGGCCUUCGGGUUGUAAAGUACUUUCAGCGGGGAGGAAGGCGAUAAGGUUAAUAACCUUGUCGAUUGACGUUACCCGCAGAAGAAGCACCGGCUAACUCCGUGCCAGCAGCCGCGGUAAUACGGAGGGUGCAAGCGUUAAUCGGAAUUACUGGGCGUAAAGCGCACGCAGGCGGUCUGUCAAGUCGGAUGUGAAAUCCCCGGGCUCAACCUGGGAACUGCAUUCGAAACUGGCAGGCUAGAGUCUUGUAGAGGGGGGUAGAAUUCCAGGUGUAGCGGUGAAAUGCGUAGAGAUCUGGAGGAAUACCGGUGGCGAAGGCGGCCCCCUGGACAAAGACUGACGCUUCAGGUGCGAAA
rnacentral:rRNA from 1 species